rnacentral:rRNA from 1 species
GGGCCGCSGAUUCGCCCUUGAGUUUGAUCAUGGCUCAGGACGAACGCUGGCGGCACGCCUAACACAUGCAAGUCGAACGGAGAUAUUUUGGUUUACUGAGAUAUCUUAGUGGCGGACGGGUGAGUAACACGUGAGCAACCUGCCUCUGAGAGAGGGAUAGCUUCUGGAAACGGAUGGUAAUACCUCAUAACAUAACGAAGCCGCAUGACUUUGUUAUCAAAGAUUUAUCACUCAGAGAUGGGCUCGCGUCUGAUUAGAUAGUUGGUGAGGUAACGGCUCACCAAGUCGACGAUCAGUAGCCGGACUGAGAGGUUGAACGGCCACAUUGGGACUGAGACACGGCCCAGACUCCUACGGGAGGCAGCAGUGGGGAAUAUUGCACAAUGGGGGAAACCCUGAUGCAGCGAUGCCGCGUGGAGGAAGAAGGUUUUCGGAUUGUAAACUCCUGUCUUAAAGGACGAUAAUGACGGUACUUUAGGAGGAAGCUCCGGCUAACUACGUGCCAGCAGCCGCGGUAAUACGUAGGGAGCGAGCGUUGUCCGGAAUUACUGGGUGUAAAGGGAGCGUAGGCGGGAUGGCAAGUCAGAUGUGAAAACUAUGGGCUCAACCCAUAGACUGCAUUUGAAACUGUUGUUCUUGAGUGAAGUAGAGGUAAGCGGAAUUCCUGGUGUAGCGGUGAAAUGCGUAGAUAUCAGGAGGAACAUCGGUGGCGAAGGCGGCUUACUGGGCUUUUACUGACGCUGAGGCUCGAAAGCGUGGGGGAGCAAACAGGAUUAGAUACCCUGGUAGUCCACGCUGUAAACGAUGAUUACUAGGUGUGGGGGGACUGACCCCUUUCCGUGCCGCAGUUAACACGAUAAGUAAUCCACCUGGGGAGUACGGCCGCAAGGUUGAAACUCAAAGAAUUGACGGGGGCCCGCACAAGCAGUGAKUAUGUGGUUUWAUUCGAAGCAACGCGAAGAACCUUACAGGUCUUGACAUCGUAUGCAUACCAUAGAGAUWUGGGAAAUCCCUUCGGGACWWUAGACAGGUGUGCAUGUAGGGCGAAUCGUUAACCUGCAGGAYUAGUCCUURUGAGGGUUAUCUGARCUUGGCG